AUUGACAUGGUUUGUGUAUUUUGGUAGGAUAGAUCUCGACACUGUACUAGUGUUUAGGGUGAAGUUCAGUUGUGGAUAAGUGAAAUAACUGACUCGUCUCAGGCACAUUUUAAAAAUACAACAUUGCAGGAUCUGAACUAAUCGACCAGUCACUCCAUCCAUCACUGUUCUACAUACAAACAGAUUGCUCUGAUGGAAAUAAAGGACAUUGGGCAAGAAUUUUGCAUCUACAGAAAAACCCCCAGGGUGCUGCGGCACUUUAGUCUUAUUUCCCUGUUACUCCCAUCCAGUUCCUCUCCACUCCUGCGUUCCUUCAAUGCCUGACAUGGGGUCUGUGCCAGGGGUCAUUCUUCACGUCAUCAGGUCACUUCCCACACAGCCUUCCACGUUGCUUUCUGUUUCCCAGAUGAAUAUUUCCUGAGCAACUGGGCAUGCUCAGUACAGACUGGCCCUGAAUCCCUGCUGUUAUUCUCCAGCUCUCACCUGUGGCUGCCUGACGGGGGCUCUGGCCAUUCCAAGAUCAUAAAUCUGACACGGAUGUUGUUUUUGGUUCUCGUCACUGUAGCGUGUGAACUGACUAUUCAGCCAAUGGCCUCGGCCAUCCUCAGAGAUUGUGCUGGUUUGUUAUUUGAAGGACAGAGAGGGCAAGCAGCAGGGAGGCUUCAACAGCUCUACACUUCCGGUUCUCACCUUGAGCACAGUCCAUCUGUAGAGAAUAUGUGCAUUCCUGGGGUUUCUAAAAAAGUGCACACCCAAGCUGCUAUCUGUGUCUUUCUUUUCAUUUUCUCUCUACUUCUCCUCACUAUUUACUGUUCAGUUUUUUUUCCACAUUUUGCUUGCUUCCAAAUAACACUAGUUCCUGAAUGACUCUUAGCCUAGACUCUAAUGCACUUGCAUCCACCAGAAUGACUCCCUUUAGGAUUCAGCAUCAUUAGACAAAACAAAUCUUACAGUUACAUACUCAAGCAGCUUGUGAAGCUUAUGCUUCCUUUUGGCUGCCAUAUAUAUGAAGUUCUGCAGCCAGCAGCUCUAUUCCAAAGAGUCUUGAUUAACUUUGUCUGGCUCCAAGCACACUUAGAAAUGGCUCCUGCAACCUCAGCCGCAUAAUGCAACAAUAAACUGUCUAUCCUACCCAUAUUCUACACAUGCACACUCAAACAAAUUCCCCUUAAGAUGCACCACUUCGGAUCUUGAGGCAGCAGAAUCGAUGAGGUGCACUCUGUCCAUAGUUUCCUGUUUACUGCGGGAGUCAUUAAUAGAGGGCUGGGAGGCACUGUAUGGACCAAAUAUUGGGGAUUGUCUAUACCUCUUUAUCUUUUUCUUUUUGACUCGACAGUCUGGGCCAUUCAAGCAGAGUGUCUGCUUCCCAGACAUUAGGAAAUGCGCAGACAAGACUUUACAGUUGAAGAAUGCAUUCUUGCGACACUACGAGGCCAGGAAGGCACCCAGGGGAGUGACUCCUGACAUCGUUCAAGCACACUGUCUGAGCAAUAAGUCAUCAACUUACUUUUGACAGUUGUGGAAGUGCUUGGGGCCAACUCACUAAACUUCUGCUGCUGUUGUGGUUUUUCUUCCAUGGACCCAUAGACCACCAGCUAGCAUUCACCUUCCUGUCUAAUUAUAAUCUUUUGUUUUACAUCCAUUUAGUUUUGAGAUUUGCGUUCUGUUUUAAUCCCUCAUACUCUGCCAGUUGCACACAAAAACACAUGCAUAUUUGGAUUCAGACAAAAAGCAAUGCCAAAUCCAAUCCAAAUAUUUAUAGAAGUUGGCAGCAUGGACCAUCCAAGGCAUGCACACAUAGAGUAGAGAAUCAGACAGUGUAAAUAUGCUCUAGCUAAUAUAAAUAUAAAUCUGCUAGACUAUUUCUAAAUUGUUAUCAAGGCUACAUAAAACAUUGCCUUCUCCAAAUAUAGAAAGGCUACUGAUAAUAACAGAAAUUGAGAAAUAUUUAUAUUCAGUUUGUCAGCAGCAAUCCACACAGCACAGGAUCCCAAAAACUAAAACAAAAAUGAUCCCAUGCGGCAUAACUGGUUCGUAUUUGAUGGUUUACAUUAGUUCAUAGAAAUGUACAAAUUAAUAGAUCUAUACAAAUCAAAGCAAGAAUUUGUAUUAUUAUUAUUAUUAUUAUUAUUAUUAUUAUUAUUAUUACUACUACUACUACUACUACUACUACUACUACUAAUAAUAAUAAUAAUAAUAAUAAUAAUAAUAAUAAUAAUAAUAAUAAUAAUAAUAAUAAUAAUAGUAUGUAAAAAUGCUACCUACCAAAUUAUUAUGAAUGUAGCAAAUAAAAGCAAAAUCAACUGAGCUGAGUGCACUAUAUUUAUAAAUUAUUUACAUUUACCAUUUAUAAAAAAUCGUUAACAGCAACUAAGCAGAUAAUAGCUAAAUAGUGUGUUUAAAAUUAGCUUGGCUGUCAGUCACCAUAAGGGUGACAUCGGCCAUAGGGUUUAAGUUUACUUUAUUUCUGAGGUCUGCAGGUUUGGGGGUUUUUUUAUCUGUUUUUUUAUCUGUUUUUUUGUUUUGUUUUGUUUUGUUUUGUUUUGUUUUGUUUUGUUUCUGAGUUUUUAUUCCGCAGCAGUGUGUCCACCCCAACCCUGACCAGGACAAACUAUAUACAUGUAUUAAUGCUGUUUUAUAAACACAUGAUAUACAUUAACUCCCAAAGAAUAUGUACCUUUUGGAUGAAGACAUAAAUUAUGUUUAUAUAUAAAUAUGUAAGUAAAAAUAUGCAGUAAAGAUGACAUAAAAAUAUUCAUCUUUACUGCAUUAGGACACACUAUGCUCAAACAUAUCAGGGAUCCUGUUGCAAGCCAGGGUUUACAGGGUUUACAGAGUUUGUCCAGUGAAUUUUUAAUAUUAUGAACACCUUCAUCUACACAUUAAUAUUGAAAGCAGGUUAAAAGUGAACAUGAAACACAAUAGUUGAGUGUGAUCAUGUAUUUUUUUGUGCAAGAAUAAAGUCUGAACAUUUA